CUGUUCGCAUUCCGUAUUGGCUAAUCACCGGCGAUAAUUACUCCGCCGCGAGUCAGCGACCGUCCAGCCUCCUGCCACAAAUGUUCCUGCCACGAACGCCCCCCUCACCACAAAUGCUCGAGAAACCGCCCAAUAAAUUGAGCACUGAUCAAGUAAAAAGCUAGAUGGAACAGAUCCACCCCCGCGUCCUCCAGGUUAAAAACCAAUUCCGUGCGACCAUCUGCAUCAAUAUUCAAUCAUGUCAAUCCGUGCUUGCGUCGCGGCCUCUGGCAAUGGUAUCCACGCUGGUACCGGCCGCUUCCGAUUUUACUCUCUCCUUUGUCUUUCCAAUCUCUCAACAUAUCUUUUCAAUCUGGUAGGUUGCCCCUCCAACGAUUUGAUUAGAUCAUGCCUGCUAGCUCAAAAUCACCAUGUUUUGUUUGGAUUAAUUGGAUUGGUCACAUCUCUGGCUUUCCAUGCAUGACUUCGUCAAAGAGGAACCAUUCGUGCCAUUGUAACACCCAGCCGGAUCGUUGCCGGCAGCCCGCCCGCCCAUACGCCGGUGCCUGUACUAACUAUGGUUCUUAGAGUUACCUGCCCGCCCUGCCGUUUAACAGAUUUUUUACGUGUAGAUUCCAGGAGCUUUGCCUGUUCUUAGAUUUGCAGUUUCGUAUUUCAUCCUACAAAAUUUGAUUGGCUUUAAUUCAGGCUCUUAGGUUCACGUGGGUGGAGGGAUGUCAAAAGGAAGCCAUGGAGUUGCUCAUAUUCAUAUAAUCAGCAGCGAGAAAUGGUAGCUUUGAUCUGAGCAAAUAUAGAAGGAGCAUAUGUAAGAUGUGGCAUGCCUCUUUUACAGAUUAUCUACAAUAAUCAGUGCAUGCAGUUGCUUUAUAUGUGAUACUAUAACCAUUGUCGAAAGCCUUCAGGUUUGCUUAAUGGACUACAUUCAUCUUCGAUAACACACGAGGUAUGUCGUUCCAAAUUCUUUGAAAUUUUAUGCUAAUUAACUGUUCUAUGAUUACGAUUAUUAAAAUUAUUUUUACUGCCCAACAUAUAUCCCUUCAUCCAACCACAGUU